GACGAACGCUGGCGGCGUGCCUAAUACAUGCAAGUAGAACGCACAGUUUAUACCGUAGCUUGCUACACCAUAGACUGUGAGUUGCGAACGGGUGAGUAACGCGUAGGUAACCUACCUGGUAGCGGGGGAUAACUAUUGGAAACGAUAGCUAAUACCGCAUAAUAUUAAUUAUUGCAUGAUAAUUAAUUGAAAGGUGCAAUUGCACCACUACCAGAUGGACCUGCGUUGUAUUAGCUAGUAGGUGAGGUAACGGCUCACCUAGGCGACGAUACAUAGCCGACCUGAGAGGGUGAUCGGCCACACUGGGACUGAGACACGGCCCAGACUCCUACGGGAGGCAGCAGUAGGGAAUCUUCGGCAAUGGACGAAAGUCUGACCGAGCAACGCCGCGUGAGUGAAGAAGGGUUUCGGAUCGUAAAGCUCUGUUGUAAGAGAAGAACGGGUGUGAGAGUGGAAAGUUCACACUGUGACGGUAUCUUACCAGAAAGGGACGGCUAACUACGUG
rnacentral:rRNA from 1 species